GCACACGCAGACUUUAUAUUAGGCAACCUAGUAGUCCUUGUAAUGUCGCUUUGCAUUCAGAACAUUUUUUUAAAUUAAAGGAAAAAUGAAAUGUCUCCUUAAGUGGAAGAGAAGGACUUCAAAUUGGGACUUUGGGAGUUGAGCACAAAACAUCAAACUGGCUAUUGCAACAAAUCUUUUCCAGUUGGUGAAUAAGAAUAGGCUGCGAACCUCAGAGCUUAAACAUAAAAGGCAGCAGGAGAACUUGUGUUUCUUUCAGCGCUGAACUGAAACGGAAACAUUUAUCUUGCUGCACCCAUCCUUACAGUAAUUAAAGUUGACUAGG
rnacentral:lncRNA from 1 species